GACAGAGGGUGCAAACGUUGCUCGGAAUCACUGGGCGUAAAGCGCGUGUAGGUGGAUUGGUGUGUCAGAUGUGAAAGCCCUGGGCUCAACCCAGGAACUGCACCUGAAACUACCAGUCUUGAGUGGUGGAGAGGGAAGUGGAAUUCCUGGUGUAGAGGUGAAAUUCGUAGAUAUCAGGAGGAACACCAGUGGCGAAGGCGGCUUCCUGGACACCAACUGACGCUGAGACGCGAAAGCGUGGGGAGCAAACAGG
rnacentral:rRNA from 1 species